UACGUAGGGGGCGAGCGUUGUCCGGAAUUAUUGGGCGUAAAGCGCGUGUAGGCGGCUUGGUAAGUCUGGUGUGAAAUCUUGGGGCUCAACCCCAAGCCUGCACUGGAUACUGCCUCGCUAGAGUCCGGGAGAGGAGAGUGGAAUUCCCAGUGUAGCGGUGAAAUGCGCAGAUAUUGGGAAGAACACCGGUGGCGAAGGCGGCUCUCUGGAACGGAACUGACGCUAAGACGCGAAAGCGUGGGGAGCGAACAGGAUUAGAUACCCCCGUA
rnacentral:rRNA from 1 species